CCUACGGGUGGCUGCAGUGGGGAAUAUUGCACAAUGGGCGCAAGCCUGAUGCAGCCAUGCCGCGUGUGUGAAGAAGGCCUUCGGGUUGUAAAGCACUUUCAGCGGGGAGGAAGGCGGUGAGGUUAAUAACCUCAUCGAUUGACGUUACCCGCAGAAGAAGCACCGGCUAACUCCGUGCCAGCAGCCGCGGUAAUACGGAGGGUGCAAGCGUUAAUCGGAAUUACUGGGCGUAAAGCGCACGCAGGCGGUCUGUCAAGUCGGAUGUGAAAUCCCCGGGCUCAACCUGGGAACUGCAUUCGAAACUGGCAGGCUAGAGUCUGGUAGAGGGGGGUAGAAUUCCAGGUGUAGCGGUGAAAUGCGUAGAGAUCUGGAGGAAUACCGGUGGCGAAGGCGGCCCCCUGGACAAAGACUGACGCUCAGGUGCGAAAGCGUGGGGAGCAAACAGGAUUAGAUACCCGGGUAGUC
rnacentral:rRNA from 1 species